AUCUUUUUUUGGUUCAUAAGCAUGAUGAUUAAGUAUUCACAUCAUUGUGUGACACAUACCUCCCUCAAACCUUAUUAUAAAACCAGGUACUUUACCCAUCUGACA